GCCUGGGUGGCUCAGUGGGUUGAGCAUCUGACUUUGGCUCAGGUCAUAAUCUCGCAGUUGAUGAGUUCGAGCCCCAUGUCAGGCU
rnacentral:tRNA from 1 species